AACGGGGGGAGCUAGCGUUACUCGGAAUAAUUGGCGUAAAGGGUGCGUAGGUUGUUUUUAUUUACAUACAUUUAAAGAUAAUAGGUGUAACCUUUUAUGGAAUGUAUUUGAUUAUAAUACUAGAGUUUAAAAGAAGAUGGUCGUAAUUUUAGUGGAAAGGUAAAAUUUAGAUAUUAGGAGGACGGUCUUUUGGUGUAGACACCAUCUAUCGUAAAACUGACACUAAAGUACAAAAGUAUGGGGCGCAAAUAGGAUUAGAGACCCUAGUAGUCCAUACCCUGACCUAUGAGUGUUAAAUAUAAGAGUAAUUUUUUGUAUUUAAGCUAACGCGUAAACACUCCGCCUGGGCAGUACGAUCGCAAGGUUGAAACUCAAAGGAAUUGACGGAGAUCAGCACAUGCGGUGGAACAUGUGAUUUAAUGCGUAACUACGCGCAAACCUUACCUAGUCUUGUUCCUAUAGAUAUUUGUAUAUAUUAAUAGAGAUCAGGUGUUGCAUGGUUGUCGUAAGUCCGUGCUGAAAAGUGUCUGGAUAAUUCCCUCAACGGACGCAACCCUAGCUUUAAUUAUUUUUAUUUUUGAAAUUUUUAAAGUAACUGCUUAUUGAAUGUUUGAGGAAGGUGGGGAACAAGUCAAAUCUUUAUGGCCUUUAUGACUAGGGCUAUCCACGUGUUACAUAGGCUAUUACAAUGAGAAGCAAAAGAGUGAUUUUUAGCAAAUCUUUAAAAAUGAGCCAUUGUUCGAUUUGUUUUCUGAAACUUGAAAACAUGAAGCAGGAAUCGCAAGUAAUCGUAAACGAGAACGUUACGGUGAAAUGUAGAACUGGUCU
rnacentral:rRNA from 1 species